UUCUUUCAUUUCCAGCUCUUCAUCCUCAUCAUUAUGCUCAUACUCUCCACUUCUGACCAAAAAAUGGCAAAAACAGCUCACUUGACCACAUUUUAUUAUACUAGUUAGUCCGUGAGCCAGAGGGGUUGGUCGUUACCGAAAAAGUGGCAAAGGCUACCAUACCUUUUCUGAAACCCUGGAAUCUCAGCUUACCAAUGAUGUAUGAUGGCCAUCUGACAAGAGUAGCUGUUUUGAGUUAUCACACAUAAUGUAAACUAAGGUUGAGAAAAUAAU